rnacentral:misc_RNA from 1 species
AACGCAUAUUGCGCCCUUUGGUAUUCCGAAGGGCAUGCCUGUUCGAGCGUCAUUAUCACAAUAUCAAGCUUGGCUUGUUGUUGGGCCCUUUGUCACCUGGUGACAGGUCCAAAAGACAAUAACCGGUGUCAUACAGACUCUAUAUGCAACGAGCUUAUAACAGCACGCAUCUGGUAGUCAUGUGGCCCGGUUCUCACCUCUUUAUUUUUCAAGGUUGACCUCGGAUCAGGUAGGAAUACCCGCUGAACUUAA